UGCUUCUUUCUGAGGCUGUAACCUUUGUGGAAACAAGAACCAAGUCUGUUAUAAUCACUUCUCUAUUCCCAGCUUCCAGCACAGUGCCUAGUAUUUGCAGAAGCUGCUUAAAAAGUACUUCUUUAAUUGAGGAACCAAAAAUGAAAUGUGCACAAUUGAGAUUAAGUUAAAAUUGACAGGAAGGUGGUGGCUAUUUUGAGUCUAUGGUUAUAGGCUUGGUCUGUCCUCAUGCUGACUUGGUCUGCGUGCCUAGGUUCAAGAUUGCCUCCAUGGGGAAUAGGCCUGCCUGCACACGUCUUACAGCCAGGGAGAUUCUUACAAUAUAUCACUUGUACAUGAGUCCCUUUCUCAGGAUCUGCUUUUGUGGCAUUCACCCUAAGCUGGAGUGCAAUCGCAUGAUCUCAGCUCACUGCAACCUCUGUCUCCCGGAUUCAAGAAAUUCUACUGCAUCAGCCUCCCUAGCAGCUGAGAUUACAGGCACAUGCCACCACAACCAGCUUUUUUUUUUUUUUAUUUUUAGUAGAGACAGGUUUUGUCAUGUUGGCUAG
rnacentral:lncRNA from 1 species